GUGAGGAAUAUUGGUCAAUGGGCGAGAGCCUGAACCAGCCAAGUAGCGUGAAGGAUGACUGCCCUAUGGGUUGUAAACUUCUUUUAUAAAGGAAUAAAGUCGGGUAUGCAUACCCGUUUGCAUGUACUUUAUGAAUAAGGAUCGGCUAACUCCGUGCCAGCAGCCGCGGUAAUACGGAGGAUCCGAGCGUUAUCCGGAUUUAUUGGGUUUAAAGGGAGCGUAGAUGGAUGUUUAAGUCAGUUGUGAAAGUUUGCGGCUCAACCGUAAAAUUGCAGUUGAUACUGGAUAUCUUGAGUGCAGUUGAGGCAGGCGGAAUUCGUGGUGUAGCGGUGAAAUGCUUAGAUAUCACGAAGAACUCCGAUUGCGAAGGCAGCCUGCUAAGCUGCAACUGACAUUGAGGCUCGAAAGUGUGGGUAUCAAACAGGAUUAGAAACCCGAGUAGUCC
rnacentral:rRNA from 1 species